AUGAACGCUGGCGGCGUGCCUAAUACAUGCAAGUCGAGCGAACAGACGAGGAGCUUGCUCCUCUGACGUUAGCGGCGGACGGGUGAGUAACACGUGGAUAACCUACCUAUAAGACUGGGAUAACUUCGGGAAACCGGAGCUAAUACCGGAUAAUAUAUUGAACCGCAUGGUUCAAUAGUGAAAGACGGUUUUGCUGUCACUUAUAGAUGGAUCCGCGCCGCAUUAGCUAGUUGGUAAGGUAACGGCUUACCAAGGCAACGAUGCGUAGCCGACCUGAGAGGGUGAUCGGCCACUCUGGAACUGAGACACGGUCCAGACUCCUACGGGAGGCAGCAGUAGGGAAUCUUCCGCAAUGGGCGAAAGCCUGACGGAGCAACGCCGCGUGAGUGAUGAAGGUCUUCGGAUCGUAAAACUCUGUUAUUAGGGAAGAACAAAUGUGUAAGUAACUAUGCACGUCUUGACGGUACCUAAUCAGAAAGCCACGGCUAACUACGUG
rnacentral:rRNA from 1 species